UCAAAGUUGGCAGAAAGAAAAUUUGGAAAAUCUUCUGAAAGUUGCAAUUGUUGAAAUUGCAAGUCUUGUUUAUGUCACCAAUGACAUCAAGACUCACCAUUUCUGUACUAUAAAAGGAGCUCAUUAGCUCCAUGGAAAUACACCCAAGGCAGAGAGAAAAAUAAUGUAGAGCGGUGAGGUAUUUCAGUCUGUGAUAAAAAAUUAGUUUGUGAAUAGAAAAAUAGAGUGAGCAAUAUUUUUUGUAGGGUGUGGUAGUCACUUUGACUACGGUAUAAAAAUCUUUACUAGGUGUUUAGUAAGGUGUGGUAGUUACUUUGACUACGGUAUAAAAACUCCUUACUAGGUGUUUUUGUAAGUUGGGAGUCAAAAGAGGAUAUUUCUUUUGAGUGUUUAGUAGUUAUUUUGUGUCUUGUACUGUGACUACGGUGUAAAAUCCUUACUAUAGUAAUAUUAGUUACUCCUCUUGGUCCGUGGUUUUUUCCCUUAUUUAGAAGGGUUUCCACAUAAAAAUUUUGGUGUCAUUAUCGCUCUUAUCAUUCUUGUUGUUUAACCGUAUUAUUGUUGUCAUAUUUAUUGAUUUUACCGCAAUAUCGUGGCGGGUUUUAUUUUCAACAACUGGUAUUAUUGUUGGGAAGCAAAACAAUUCUACAUCGGAGAAAUAGAGGAAACAUGUCCUUUAUUUAAAGUCUCGCACAACUCCAUUAGUAUGAAACCUUUUUGUUAGGUGCCCAAGAAUAAAUCCGUGAGGGCUUGGCCCAAAGCGGACAAUAUCAUACUAGUGCGGAGUUUUGAUGAAGUUACACGCGGUUCCAACAAUUGGUAUCAAAGCCAGUUGUUCCGUUGUAGUGGGAAAAUUUACCCGUUUUUCCCAACAAGUGGUAUCAAAGACAGUUAUUCCAUUGUAGUGGAAGAAUUUAUUCGAUUUUCUCAACAAGUGGUAUCAAAAACCAAGUUCAGAUGUGUCGGAGUAGUGGACUGCAUUUUGUGAGAGGUUCCAGGUGUGACAACAAGAUGGUUAGCCAUGAUAACGGCGGUACAGAUCUGUUUGGCAGAUCAUGUAAAGUCUCCUAGUAGUUGGAGAUUGCAGGUAGUGUCUUUUGUCGAAAGUCUUCCUGACAAGUGGUGGUCAGGCGGCAUGUCCCACUAUUUGGCAGUAGCGGUACAAGAUGAUUAGCCUGUGAGAAGUUCUCAUUGUGACAACAAGGUUGCAGAUCUGUUUGGCAGAUCGGUGGUAUAAGAUAUUUGGUAGAUAUGUUUGACAGAUCGAUGGUACAAGAUAUUUGACAGAUCUAUUUGGCAGAUCAGCGGUACAUGAUAUUUGACAGAUCUGUUUGGAAGAUUGGCAGUACAAGAAUGUUUGGCAGAUCUGUUUGGCAGAUCGGCGGUACAAUAUGUUUGGCAGAUCUGUUUGGCAGAUCAGCGGUAUAAUAAUGUUUGGUAGAUCUGUUGGAAGAUCGACGAUACAAGAUGUUUGGCAGAUUAGCGGUACAAGAAUGUUUAGCAGAUCUGUUUGGCAGAUCGGUAGUACAAGAAUGUUUGACAGAUUUGUUUGGUAGAUCGACGGUACAAGAAUGUUUGGCAGAUCUAUUUAGCAAAUCAGUGGUACAAGAUGUUUUUCAGAUCUGUUUGGCAGAUUAUAUGAAGUAACCUAUGAUGUCUUAUGUUGAAAGUAUUCUUGACAAAUGGUGGUAACGGUGGUACGAGAUGGUUAGCGAGAUCAAAUGAAUUAUCGCUGAAAAGGAGGUCACAUGUGGUGUUGUCUUAUUUUGAGGGAGAGAAUGUUGCUCUAUUAUUCUUCAUGCAGUUGGUGUUGUCAGCAAGUUUUUCCUGAAAAUUCAGGAAAGGAGCAUUGGAAAGCAGUCAAAUGAUAUUGAGGUACCUAAGAAAAACCUCGGAAGACUGUUUAUAUUUUGGAGGAUAUGAUCCAAUCUGGAAGGGCCAUACAGAUACUGAUAUAGCGGGUGACCUUGAUAUUAGAAAAUCUACUAUUGGAUUGUUAUUUAAAUUUUUUAGGAGAAGCUAUAUCAUGGCAGUCGAAGUUGCAGAAGUGUGUCGCACUAUCUACAACUGAAGCUAAGUAUAUUGCGGAUACUGAAGCUAAGCAAGGAAUUGAUAUGACUCAAGCGGUUCCUUCAAGAACGAAUGAAAAAUUCUGGAGAUUAUGCUGACAAAGGUGGUGCCAAAAGUCAAGUUUUAAUUGUGCAAAAAACUUUUGGGCAUGAGUUCUCCCUGCGAAGAAUGAAGAUACCUCCUUCAGAUGUAUGGAUCUGGAGGGGAAGAUUUGUUGGGGUCCAGCCCCAUGAAAAUUUUUUCUUGGUAAAACUUUGCUGCAUGCAGCUUUCAAAGUUGGUAGAAAGUAAAUUUAGAAAAUCUUCUCAAAGCUGCAAUUGUUGAAAUUGCAAGUCUUGUUUAUGGCAUCAAUGACAUCAAGACUCACCAUUUCUGUACUAUAAAAGGAGCUCAUUAGCUCCAUGAAAAUACACCCAAGACAGAGAGAAAAAUAAUGGAGAGCGGUGAGGUAUUUCAGUUUGUGAUAAAAAAUUAGUCUGUGAAAAAAAAAAAAUAGAGUGAGUAAUAUUUUUAGUAAGGUGUGGUAGUCACUUUAACUACGGUAUAAAAAAUCCUUACUUGGUGUUUUAGUAAGGUGUGGUAGUCACUUUGACUACGGUAUAAAAAUUCCUUACUAGGUGUUUUUGUAAGUUGAGAGUCAAAAGAGGAUAUUUCUUUUGAGUGUUUAGUAGUUAU
rnacentral:lncRNA from 1 species